ensembl:lncRNA
GCUCAAUGGGAUAUUCAAUGUCUGCUUUUUUUUAGAUGUUUACCCAUCUACCAAUUGGUGCCCUUCUUUGGGAGGCAGUGGAAAACAUCCCUGGUGUUUGUGAUUGAAUCUGUGUCUGAAAUUCACUGCUCGACCUGAGGGACCUUUGUAUGUGUGGGGUACAGAGAUGAGACCCUUCCAGCGUCUGGAGCCUUUGGAGUCUCCUGUAGCAGAGUUUCAUACCCUCUCUGAAGAGACAGCCACCCCUCUGGGCCAGAGAGAAGACACACUAGCGAAGGAAGAGGAGCUACCAGGACAGGAGAAGACCAUUCCUCUACCAGGACAGGAGCUACCAGGACAGGAGAAGACCAUUCCUCUACCAGGACAGGAGAAGACCAUUCCUCUACCAGGACAGGAGCUACCAGGACAGGAGAAGACCAUUCCUCUACCAGGACAGGAGCUACCAGGACAGGAGAAGACCUUUCCUCUACCAGGACAGGAGCUACCAGGACAGG